rnacentral:lncRNA from 1 species
AUGUCUAGAAUAAGAUAGAGGAUGAGUACUUACGUUUGGAAGUCGGAAAUUAGCGGAAUCGGGGUCGUUUUCGAGUCUAGAGAGAGAAAGUAGAGAGAGAGAGUGGGUGUGUAGUAAAUGAGUGUUCAAAUGUUGUGCACACCCAUUGCAUAUGUCUCGGGAAUCGCACCCGAUACACGGCUACCCGAUGUUUAAAGUUAACUGGGUUAAAACUUUUUACCCGGGUGAAGUGGUUGAAAAGGUAAUACAACUCUAUUAGGUUAAACGGGGUUAACACAUACGAGUUAUAUUUCUUAUGAUAAUAUUAAGCCAUGCAUAAAUUUAGAUAUUCGGAUAUUGAUGAUUCCAAAUAUUACAUAAAAUAACGUAUAGUGACACGUUCCGUUAGUGAAAAUGGGAUUUGUAACGGAAUUAGAUUUGGGGUUGUCACAUCAUCCCCCCGUUAGGGGAAUUUCGUCCCGAAAUUUAGAAUACAAACAGAUACGAUAUUACAAUACUACUAAGCGAAGAGAUGAGGGUAUUUGAGUUUCAUUUGAUCCUCGCGCUCCCAAGUGAAUUCCGGUCCUCGCUUGGCGUUCCACCGAACCUUCACAAUUGGGAUGCGGCUUUGUUUCGUCCGCUUUACUUCACGAUCCAAAACCUCAGCAGGUUCUUCCACGAAGUUGAGGCUCUCAUUGAUCUCGAUCUCGUCGAGGGGGAUCACGAGAGUCUCGUCAGACAGACAUUUCUUCAAGUUUGAGACGUGGAAGGUAGGAUGUAUGUUACUUAGCUCGCGGGGUAAGUUUAGUUUGUAAGCUACAGGGCCGAUUCUGGCAAGAAUCUCAAAAGGCCCUAUGUACCUUGGGUUUAACUUUCCACGCUUCCCGAAGCGUAUCGUGCCUUUCCAGGGCGAGACCUUCAGAAGGACCCGGUCUCCGACCUGGAAUUCCAAGGGUUUCCUUCGUUUGUCGGCGUAGCUCUUCUGUCGAUCCCUAGCGGCUUUUAGUCGUUCACGUAUCUGUACAAUCUUCUCGGUCGUCUCUCGAAUGAUCUCUGGACCAGUGAGGGCGCUAUCAGGAACUCGUCCUUUAGCUAACUGAGUGUCUCCCACCUCGGCCCAGCACAAAGGGGAUCUGCACUUCCGGCCGUAGAGAGCUUCGAAUGGAGCUGCCUUGAUGCUCGUGUGAUAACUAUUGUUGUAGGAAAACUCCACAAGAGGUAAGUGUGUAUCCCACGAUUUCCCGAAGUCGAUCACACAAGCUCGCAGCAUGUCUUCUAAUGUUUGGAUCGUCCUCUCACUUUGUCCGUCAGUCUGCGGAUGGUAGGCUGUACUCAUAUCCAGCCUCGUCCCUAGUGCCUUUUGUAAUGAUUGCCAAAAUCUAGAGGUGAAUCUACUAUCUCUGUCUGAUAUAAUAGAUAUAGGGAUGCCAUGCAAUCGCACUAUUUCUUUUAUAUAAGUCCUAGUGAGCUUUUCCAUCUUAUCCGUCUCUUUGAUGGGUAGGAAGUGGGCGGACUUGGUCAACCUGUCAACGAUGACCCAAAUGGUAUGGAGUCAAGUCUAAUUUACCAAACAUCCUAGAAGUGUUUUUGGGGCUUAGAACAUGGAUUUGUGGGGGUGUUUGAGGUGUUUACGGCCUAAGCACAUGCUUGGGCCGUAAACUCCUUUUUAAGCAUCAUUCUCUUGUGUUCUAAGGUCCAAACCCUUCUAGUUAUAAGCCUUAAUUAGUAUACUAACAUACAAGAAGGAAAAACUUGGUCCUUGGCUUGGAUUUGGGGGUUUACGGCCUAAGGAGCUUCUUAGGCCGUAAACUCCUUUAUGGUCCUUGAUUUCUAUGAUUUUGGCCCCUAAUUUCAGUGAAGCAUGACUAGAUUAAGAUAGAGGAUGAGUACUUACGUUUGGAGGUCGGAAAUUAGCGGAAUCGGGGCCGAUUUCGAGUCUAGAGAGAGAAAGUAGAGAGAGAGAGUGGGUGUGUAGUAAAUGAGUGUUAAAAUGUUGUGCACACCCAUUGCAUAUGUCUUGGGAAUCGCACCCGAUACACGGCUACCCGAUGUUUAAAGUUAAUUGGGUUAAAACUUUUUACCCAGGUGAAGUGGUUGAAAAGGUAAAACAACUCUAUUAGGUUAAACGGGGUUAACACAUAUGAGUUAUAUUACUUAUGAUAAUAUUAAGUCAUGCAUAGACUUAGAUAUUCGGAUUUUGACGGUUCCAAAUAUUACAUAAAUAACGUAUAGCGACACGUUCCGUUAGUGAAAAUGGGGUUUGUAAUGGAAUUAGAUUUGGGGUUGUCACACUUAUCUAUCUCUUCCCUUGUCGGAUUUUCCAAUCUGGAAAGAUGGUCAGCAGCUACAUUUUCCAUCCCCUUCUUGUCCUUGAUCUCAAUGUCAAUUUCAUGAAGUAGCAACACCCAUCAGAUCAAUCUUGGCUUAUCAUCCUGCUAGGAAAACAAGUACUUAAUAGCAGAAUGGUCAGUAAACACAGUAGCUUUAGACAAAAUUAAAUAGGGAUGAAAUUUGUCAAAGGCAAACACCACGACUAAUAAUUCUUUUUCCGUUGUGGUGUAAUUUUCUUGGGUAGGAUUAAGGGUCUUGCUGGCAUAGUAAAUGGGUUGAAAGUGUUUGUCAACCCUUUGGCCAAGUACAACUCCUAAGGCAAAGUCGCUUUUAUCACACAUUAUUUCAAAUGGUAAGUUCCAAUUCGGGGCGUUAGUCAAUUUUUCUUUCAAAAAUUCAAAAGUGGCUAAACAUUCUUUAAAAAAAAUUAAAGGUGCAUCUUUCAAAAUUAGUUAAGUUAAAGGUCAAGUAAUUUUUGAAAAAUCCUUAAUAAAGCGGUGGUUAAAACCCUCGUGACCUAGAAAACUCAUAACGCCCUUUACACUAGUUGGUGGGGGUAAUUUAGCAAUAGUUUCAAUUUUUGCCCGAUCCACCUCAAUCCCCGCCUUGGAUACUUUAUGGCCUAACACUAUGCCUUCCUUCACCACAAAGUGAAAUUUCUCCUAAUUCAAUACUAGAUUGGUCUUUUCACACCUAGCAAGCAUCAAGUCAAGGUUAGCAAGACAAUCAUGAAACGAAGAGCCAAAUAUAGAAAAAUCAUCCAUGAAUUUUUCCACCAUGUCAUGGAAUAUCGCCAUCAUGCAUCUUUGGAAGGUUGUCGGCACAUUGCAUAACCCAAAGGGUAUGCAUCGGUAACCAAACGUUCUACUUGGACAAGUAAAAGUGGUAUUC